rnacentral:lncRNA from 1 species
CUCUUAGUCGCCCCCUUUACCUCGGGGUGGGGCAGGAGAGCGAGAGUGCAGGGAUAAAGGGGCCAAGAGGGCCCCCGGAGAUUUUUUUGUUUUUGUUUUUGUUUUAAAAUUUCUGGCAGGUAGAGCAGGUGCCCUCCCCCAGACACUUGCAAAAAUGUAGAGAGAGGUGGAGGACUGGGGUGCCUGCGAGCAGGUCCCAGUUGCAAGAAUUAAAGCCUUGCAACAGGUUGGGGGAAGCAGGGCAGCGCCAGGUGCACGCAGUGAGCGGAGGCCGGAGAAACCCUCAAGCCUGAGCGGGUCAGAAUUAUACGGGGAAAAAAGCCGCAAAAUUGUUCACCCCCAAGCAACCACCGAAAUAAUGAGAUCGGAUGCAGUGGAGAUGGCGUUGGGGGUGGGAGAGAAAAAUGGAUUUAUCUUUAAAAUUUUUGCUUAAAAUCUAAAAUAUACCCCGCUUUCUAACCCUCAGCUGCCAGCGGUGCGCGGCGCCGCAGAACAGGCACUUCUGGUACAGGAACAAAGAACAACAACAGAAAAACCCACUCCUUUAAAGCCUAGUGAUAAUUGCCUGUCCUGCCU